CAGCCGCGGUAAUACCAGCUGCACAAGUGUAUAUUAAAGUUGUUGCAGUUAAAAAGCUCGUAGUUGGAUAUCUGUCUUGACUGACCUAGCCCUGGGCUUCGGCUCGGUGUGCUGGUUGUGGCGACCUCUGCUUCGGUGGUUGUGUUGCCCGUCACGUCGGACAUACUUCAGGAAAUCUAUCCUGCCUUUAAUUAGGUUGGGGUAAGGAUCCUGAUCGUUUACUUCGAAAAAUUAGAGUGUUUAACGCAGGCUUUAUCGUCGCGAAUAGAUUA
rnacentral:rRNA from 1 species